rnacentral:piRNA from 1 species
UUACUUUGCUAUUAGAAUAAA